AUGUAACUUAGUUUAACUAGAACAGUCAAUUUGCACUUGACAAGUGAGGUAACUCAGUAGC
rnacentral:tRNA from 1 species